rnacentral:rRNA from 1 species
UGGGGAAUAUUGCGCAAUGGACGAAAGUCUGACGCAGCGACGCCGCGUGUGGGAGGAAGCUCUUCGGGGUGUAAACCACUGUCAGGAGGGAAGAACGGCGCCGGUUCGAACAGUUCCGGCGAUUGACGGUACCUCCAAAGGAAGCGCCGGCUAACUCCGUGCCAGCAGCCGCGGUAAGACGGAGGGCGCAAGCGUUGUUCGGAAUUACUGGGCGUAAAGCGCGGGCAGGCGGUCUGUUAAGUCGUUUGUGAAAAUCCGGGGCUCAACCCCGGAAAUGCAUACGAUACUGGCAGGCUGGAGACUGGUAGAGGCUAGCGGAAUUCCUGGUGUAGCGGUGAAAUGCGUAGAUAUCUGGAGGAACACCGGUGGCGAAGGCGACAUCCUGGACCAAUUCUGACGCUGAGGAGCGAAAGCCAGGGGAGCAAACGGGAUUAGAUACCCAUGUAGUCCCUGAGCGGGCUGGCAAGGCGCAU